AUCACGGGAAAGAGGGGGUGUGCGGCCGCGGGGAACGCCGGGCGGGGGCUGUGCGGGCCGGGCGGCAUGGCGGGCGGGACGGGCCGGGCCUGGCCGCCUUCUCCCGCCUCCCUCAGCCCCCCUCAGCGGAGGAAGGCUUGGGGUGAGGCCACACACCGGGCCUUCGGCUGGACAUGGCCUCCUGCGAGGCCACCUCACUCGCCAUCGUGGUGUUCUCAGGUGUCCCCUCAGAAACAGCCCAGCGCGGCGGGAACCCGCAGCCAGUGGCCCGGCAGUACCAGCCCAAGGGCAACGAGAAAAGGUUUAAGAUGUGGCGAUGUUCAUUCCUAUGGCCAUGAAGGGAAGCUGACAAAAGCUUUAAGGCCACAAGAGGGCAUGUUCUCUUUUAAUAAACUUGGCUGCUCCCUGUGCCAGUCACAACAUCUGAACAGCACAACUUCGGACUGGCGUGAACAUUCAGUAUGUUGGAGAGUGGUCCAGCUGCUUCUAUUGAAAACUGAAGUAAUUCCACAGUGCAUACAGCGUCUUUGUCACUUCUUCGCACCAUCCUCUGCUGCACAAGAGCCAAUUAUUGACGAACGUGUUGAUGAGUUAUGCGAGACAGACUGUUGUCUGCCUCACACAGUACAAGGCUACCAAGGUCAUUUGAACUGUUUACAGGAUGGGUAUCACGUGGAAGUCCUGGAGUCAUCCUUCUCCUUGGAAACUCCUCAUUCUUCUAAGGACACGGUGACAUGAAGCAGAUUGGCAGAGGCUGUAGCCAUCAGCCGAGGACCUGUUCGCUACUGGCAGAGUUGGAAGUCCUGCAGCUUCAAGAGGAGGAGGCCAUAGGCAGGGAGCAGUUCUAGAAGUAAAAGCAGCUUUUGUUUUAAGAAUUACUUUGCAAAGCUGACGAUGCACAGGAGACCCAACUCCUAGAGGAAAGCCAAGCCUUGCUGAAAUCCACGAGCUAUUCCCCAGCACAGAUUGCUCCCUGAAUGCAUGUGGGCAGGAGCUGGAUGAAUAAGGAGAGAAGAAAGGCAAGACAAAAGCUGAGUGUAAGAGAACCCAUUUGGAUAAUCCCAUCACCACAAAAAACAUCCUUGUGUUAGACUUCUGAAGCAGGUUCCAAAGAGCAAACUUCACAGUGUGUAGGACAAGGUCAGGACAUAAAUAAAUUAUGCAUGUUCUCCAUGAUAGAGAUUUAAAUUUAUCCUAUCAACAUGAGUUAAUUAAUAAUUUAAAAGGGCACUGCGAUCCUCAUGUGGGAGUUCCUAUAAAAUGAAAAUUCAAGCAGUUUAAGAUGCAGUAGAUUGCUGUCUAUUAAAAAACAUGUUCAGGGAUUUACUGUAUUACUAUUUUAAUUAUAUUUUAAGCAUCAAGAUUUUGAUGUGCGUUUAAGCAUUAUAGCGUGACUUUUGCAAUCCAAACCUUGCAGGAUUAAGUCCCAUCAAGUACAGUAAAACCAGGGGAAGUAGCUGAUUAUAAACACCAAUAAAACUAAUGCAGAUGUCUUUUAUGAAAUGCUAAGACUAAGCAAAAAGCCCUAUUUAUAUUUCAGUUUCUCUCAUGCACGCUUAUUUUAAUAAUUCAGUUAAAUUAAAAUUUUUAGCCGUAUAACUUUUGCCAUAGCACUUCACUUUUAAAAUUACUUGCAAUUUAAACAAUUUAAUUACUUCUACACAUACAAAAUUACUGCUGUUCCUCAGCACAAAAGACACUAGAGUUUUCAGAAUAGCGCACCACUAUCUGUCCUGAACGUAGCUAGGAAUAUGUAAAUCUGAGUGAAUAAACUCGCAAAGUCAACAUGUGUCUCUGCUGUGGGACAAUGACAGAAAUUCUGCCCAUGGACACACAUCCUUUUGAUUAAACAGUUUAUUUGCGGACAUUAAAACUGACUCGGAGCAGAAUUAGUGUGUUAACCACAGUCUCUCUAAAUGAUGAUAGAUGAGGUGUUCAUGUUAUUUGUCAGCUGGACAUAUGGUGUGUUCAGAGCAUGGUUGUUUUGAAGAAGCCAUAUACAAGACUUUUAACUGGCUCAGGUUUUGGUGUUAGAAGUUUUUAGUGAUAAAAAAUGCUCAAAAGAACUACUAUAGUGAAUUAGGUUAUCUAGGAAGUCAUAUAAUUCCUUUAAACUUUUAAAAUGAGGAGAAAAUCCUAAGAGGAAGCAGUUUUGUAUGUGUAUUACUUGAUCUAAAUACAUAUUUUUCAGUUUGAUGCCAUUCAAAACAAUUUUACCACUGACCAAAAGUCACAGUCACCAUUAAACUACAGUAGUUUGUGUUUUAUAGAGAAGCUGGAUGACUUGGGUGAGGUUCUAAAGGAACUGAGGGAGAAACUGAUAAAAUAAAUCAGCUCUCCAGGAUUUCAGACAGGCAGGAUUUGGGAUUCCCAGUUCCCCAUCCUGAGGUGCUGAUCAUCUGAUACCGCAUCUCUUCUUGAA